rnacentral:rRNA from 1 species
UACGUAGGGUGCGAGCGUUGUCCGGAAUUAUUGGGCGUAAAAAAGCUUGUAGGCGGUCUGUCGCGUCUGCUGUGAAAAUCCGGGGCUCAACCCCGGACUUGCAGUGGGUACGGGCAGACUAGAGUGUGGUAGGGGAGACUGGAAUUCCUGGUGUAGCGGUGAAAUGCGCAGAUAUCAGGAGGAACACCGAUGGCGAAGGCAGGUCUCUGGGCCACUACUGACGCUGAGAAGCGAAAGCAUGGGGAGCGAACAGG